rnacentral:snRNA from 1 species
AGCUUUGUGCAGUGGCAGUAUCAUAGCCAAUGAGGUUUAUCCGAGGCGUGAUUAUUGCUAAUUAAAUAUUAUAUACAUUAGAAAUGUUCACAUCUUGGGGCACCUGGGUGACUCGGUUGGUUGAGCAUCCAACACGUUAUUUCAGUUCAGGUCAUGAUC